GUCUACAGCCAUACCACCCUGAACAUGCCCAAUCUCGUCUGAUCUCGGAAGCUAAGCAGGGUCGGGCCUGGUUAGUACUUGGAUGGGAGACACUCACAAAUCUAAAAGAGACU
ensembl:rRNA 5S_rRNA 5S ribosomal RNA